UCUUUGAUGGUCUAACGGUCAUGAUUUCCGCUUGUACGUUCCCUCUUCAUUCGCUGAAAUAUCACCAGCUAAUCCAACUUCAGGUCAUAACAGACACAGCGCGGGAGAUCGGGGUUCGACUCCCCGUCAGAGAG
rnacentral:tRNA from 1 species